CGCGGGCUAAGCGCGUGCCCGGGGGUGCGCGCCGGGGAUGGAGGCUGGGGUGCUCCUGUGGGAAGGGAGGGGUGAAAGGUCGCCGGUCGCGGCAACACGGCUCAGGCAAACGUAAGCGGCUUGUCGCAGAAACCAAGGGGUCUAAGAAACGCGCUAGGCUAGAAGGCGGGAAGCAGAGAUUACUGACAGUCAUGCUAGCCAAUAAAAUGGGAAUGUGGGACAGGCUCUCCAGGCCCCUUCCCAAUCAGGAAACUUAGGUAUGAGAGGGAAUGAAGGGGCGGGGUGGGAUCCCGGUUAAGCCGCGGCUGGAGCGGCGACAGUUUUGGCUAGUCUGAGAAGGGCAUUCGAGUGACCGUUGACAACGGGGGAGACAGCGUCAAGGCUGAAGGAAGAACCUUUAACUUUAUGCUUCCAGGACUACUAGCUAGCAUCCUUUAUUGCAGGGAACAUCUAGGAGGUACUGGGAUUUCUGGCGCUUUUUAAGUGAUGAAAGACAGAUUAAAGUCCACUGAACAAGGGGAAAACAAUAACAUUUGGCUUGGGAAUAAAAGUUCAUCUGGAGUAUGAAAAAUACUUUUCCUCAAGUCAGAGAAGAAGAUAUGCUGAGACCUCAAAGAAAGGGAAAGCCGACUUAAUAUUUAAAUACUACCUACCAUUCCAUGGGGACUAGGAGCAGAAGGUAUGAUUUUAAAUGUGGAUAGCAUGCUUACCAAUAAUUUAUUUAACUCUGAUAUGCCAGGAAUUUCAGAGACUAUCUUAAGACCUGGUCAGACAUCUAAGGGUUAGUUAGCUAUGAUCUGAUUUGGUCAAUGAAGGUUAUCAGAGAGUAUAAUUUAUUCUCCAUUCUCUAUUAUGUUUUAUUAUUUUUUUAAAAAGCAUACUUCUCCAUUUCACACUAUGUGUACCUCUAUCAUUCUGAUUAAAUAGACAUAAACGUUUUAUCUAUUCUAAUAAAACUGAAAAAAAUUUUUUAAAUCAUUUCCCAGUUUAUA